rnacentral:rRNA from 1 species
AGUGAACGCUGGCGGUAGGCCUAACACAUGCAAGUCGAACGGCAGCACAGUAAGAGCUUGCUCUUACGGGUGGCGAGUGGCGGACGGGUGAGGAAUACAUCGGAAUCUACUUUUUCGUGGGGGAUAUCGUAGGGAAACUUACGCUAAUACCGCAUACGACCUACGGGUGAAAGCAGGGGAUCUUCGGACCUUGCGCGAUUGAAUGAGCCGAUGUCGGAUUAGCUAGUUGGCGGGGUAAAGGCCCACCAAGGCGACGAUCCGUAGCUGGUCUGAGAGGAUGAUCAGCCACACUGGAACUGAGACACGGUCCAGACUCCUACGGGAGGCAGCAGUGGGGAAUAUUGGACAAUGGGCGCAAGCCUGAUCCAGCCAUACCGCGUGGGUGAAGAAGGCCUUCGGGUUGUAAAGCCCUUUUGUUGGGAAAGAAAAGCAGCAGGUUAAUACCCCGCUGUCCUGACGGUACCCAAAGAAUAAGCACCGGCUAACUUCGUG